rnacentral:rRNA from 1 species
GAUGAACGCUGGCGGCGUGCCUAAUACAUGCAAGUCGAGCGAACAGACGAGGAGCUUGCUCCUCUGACGUUAGCGGCGGACGGGUGAGUAACACGUGGAUAACCUACCUAUAAGACUGGGAUAACUUCGGGAAACCGGAGCUAAUACCGGAUAAUAUAUUGAACCGCAUGGUUCAAUAGUGAAAGACGGUUUUGCUGUCACUUAUAGAUGGAUCCGCGCCGCAUUAGCUAGUUGUUAAGGUAACGGCUUACCAAGGCAACGAUGCGUAGCCGACCUGAGAGGGUGGUCGGCCACACUGGAACUGAGACACGGUCCAGGCUCCUACGGGAGGCAGCAGUAGGGAAUCUUCCGCAAUGGGCGAAAGCUUGACGGAGCAACGCCGCGUGAGUGAUGAAGGUCUUCGGAUCGUAAAACUCUGUUAUUAGGGAAGAACAAAUGUGUAAGUAACUAUGCACGUCUUGACGGUACCUAAUCAGAAAGCCACGGCUAACUACGUG